rnacentral:ncRNA from 2 species
ACAUUAUCAAGAGCGGUGCUGAGGGUUCUGGCCCGACGACGCACCCGCCAACCUGGGGACGCCCCCAAGGUGGCAACGCCAGCCCGGUCACACGGGGACGAUAAGGC